rnacentral:rRNA from 1 species
GACGAACGCUGGCGGCGUGCCUAACACAUGCAAGUCAGCUUGACUGAAGGAGCAAUCUGACAGUAGAGUGGCGCAAGGGUGCGUAACGCGUAAGUAACUUGCCCCAAGGUAAGGAAUAACGUCGAGAAAUCGGCGCUAAUACCUCAUAAUGCAGCGGAUCCGCAUGGAUAUGUUGUUAAAGGUUUACCGCCUUGGGAUAGGCUUGCGUCUGAUUAGUUAGUUGGUGUGGUAACGGCACACCAAGGCUACGAUCAGUAACUGGUCUGAGAGGAUGAUCAGUCACACUGGAACUGAGACACGGUCCAGACUCCUACGGGAGGCAGCAGUGAGGAAUAUUGGGCAAUGCUCGAAAGAGUGACCCAGCAACGCCGCGUGGAGGAUGAAGGUAUUCUAUAUCGUAAACUCCUGUGAGAGCAGACGAAAGACAGAUUAUUAAUCUGGAUGACUGUAUGCUCAGAGGAAGCCCCGGCUAA